rnacentral:tRNA from 1 species
GCCGGAGUGGUGAAAUGGCAGACACAGGGGACUCAAAAUCCCCCGCUGGCAACAGCAUACCGGUUCAAGUCCGGUCUCCGGCACCA